rnacentral:rRNA from 1 species
UACGUAGGGGGCAAGCGUUGUCCGGAAUCAUUGGGCGUAAAGGGCGUGUAGGCGGCUCGAUAAGUCUGCUGUGAAAGUCCAGGGCUCAACCCUGGAAGGCCGGUGGAAACUGUCGGGCUAGAGUCCGGAAGAGGCGAGUGGAAUUCCCGGUGUAGCGGUGAAAUGCGCAGAUAUCGGGAGGAACACCAAUGGCGAAGGCAGCUCGCUGGGACGGUACUGACGCUGAGACGCGAAAGCGUGGGGAGCAAACAGG